rnacentral:lncRNA from 1 species
AAAGUUUGGGUGUUGUUGAAAUCUGUCCAUAAUUAAGAAGUGGAGCUAUAUAUAGGUACGUACAUGUGUAUAUAUGUUGAUUUUGAGUUUUAUUUGAGUUGAUCGAUUUUGAGUGUGAUUGAAUUGAUAGAUUUUGAGUACGUUUGAUGUAUAUAUAUAUAUGUGUGUUGAUCGAUUUGGUUGAUGAUUUGUUAAUAUAUAUGAAGUUGUUGUUAAUUAUAAGUAGCAGUUGAAUGGUUGGUUGCAGAUGAACCAUAUUCAAUUUGAUGGUCACCCAAAUUGGUCGCACGAACUAAGACUUCUAGCGAUGAAGCCGAUAAUGUCAAGAGUUUAUCCGAUGUGCAAGGUGAAUGGCGUGCAAUUUAUAUGCGAACAAAGAGACAGCAGAAGGAGAACACAGAAUUCUGGGGUCAUGGCACAUGGUGGGCGGAAUGGAGUUGACUAUUACGGUGUUCUCCAUUCAGUGGUGGAACUCGUUUAUGGGCAAGGCAUGACAGUGCACCUCUUCAAGUGCAGAUGGUUUGAUACUAGGCCGCAGAGCAUGAAGACCGAUCAGUACGGAAUAUUAUAGGCGAAGGUGAGGGAGGCUAGUGACGAGGUGAUGAGUGCUAUAGUGAGGGAGACAUGGCCGAACACGCAGGAGGAAGAGAUGUCCGAAGCCAUGUCCCGGAUCGACACUUCGGAUCCGACGAUUGGGGCGAGGAUCAUGGGCACAGCCUUCCCACCGAGAGCAAACAACUUCUACUACCGGGGUCUAGGAAAGAAAGGCGAGGGGGUCCUGAAGACCACUCCAGGAUUUCAAAGAAAGGCAGCAUCGACCAGCAGCAGGACCACGUCCACGAUCACCAGGACGACUCAGCUAGAGUCGGAAGUUCAGAGACUACGAGAACAGCAAGCUGCUCAGGAAGCCUAUAAUGCCUCGCAGGCAGCCUAUAAUGCCUCGCAGGCAGCCUAUAAUGCUGCGCAGGCAGCCUAUGUUGCCGAGAUACAUGCCAUCCAGCAGGCCCAGCAGCAGCAGAUGUUCCAGUACAUGCAGGACUUUACU